rnacentral:rRNA from 1 species
AUGAAACUUAAAGGAAUUGGCGGGGGAGCACUACAACCGGAGGAGCCUGCGGUUUAAUUGGACUCAACGCCGGACAUCUCACCAGCCCCGACAUCAGUAAUGACAGUCAUGUUGACGACAUCCGCCCGAGCUGAUGAGAGGAGGUGCAUGGCCGCCGUCAGCUCGUACCGUGAGGCAUCCUGUUAAGUCAGGCAACGAGCGAGAUCCACAUCCCUAAUUGCCAGCACCAUCGCACGAUGGGUGGGUACAUUAGGGAGACUGCCAGUGCUAAACUGGAGGAAGGAAUGGGCAACGGUAGGUCAGUAUGCCCCGAAUGGGCUGGGCAACACGCGGGCUACAAUGGCGAGGACAACGGGUUCCAACACUGAAAAGUGACGGUAAUCUCGCAAACCUCGUCGUAGUUCGGAUUGCGGGCUGAAACUCGCCCGCAUGAAGCUGGAUUCGGUAGUAAUCGCGUUUCAGAAGAGCGCGGUGAAUACGUCCCUGCUCCUUGCACACACCGCCCGUCAAAGCACCCGAGUGAGGUCCGGAUGAGGCCACAUCACUGUGGUCGAAUCUGGGCUUCGCAAGGGGGCUUAAGUCGUAACAAGGUAGCCGUA